rnacentral:rRNA from 1 species
AUUGAACGCUGGCGGCAUGCUUUACACAUGCAAGUCGAACGGCAGCACGGACUUCGGUCUGGUGGCGAGUGGCGAACGGGUGAGUAAUACAUCGGAACGUGCCCAGUUGUGGGGGAUAACUACUCGAAAGAGUAGCUAAUACCGCAUGAGAACUGAGGUUGAAAGCAGGGGAUCGUAAGACCUUGCGCAACUGGAGCGGCCGAUGGCAGAUUAGGUAGUUGGUGGGAUAAAAGCUUACCAAGCCGACGAUCUGUAGCUGGUCUGAGAGGACGACCAGCCACACGUGGACUGAGACACGGCCCAGACUCCUACGGGAGGCAGCAGUGGGGAAUUUUGGACAAUGGGCGAAAGCCUGAUUCAGCAAUGCCGCGUGCAGGAUGAAGGCCUUCGGGUUGUAAACUGCUUUUGUACGGAACGAAAAGCUUCGGGCUAAUACCCUGGAGUCAUGACGGUACCGUAAGAAUAAGCACCGGCUAACUACGUGCCAGCAGCCGCGGUAAAAC